rnacentral:rRNA from 1 species
GACGAACGCUGGCGGCGUGCUUAACACAUGCAAGUCGAACGGAAAGGCCCUGCUUUUGUGGGGUGCUCGAGUGGCGAACGGGUGAGUAACACGUGAGUAAACUGCCCUUGACUUUGGGAUAACUUCAGGAAACUGGGGCUAAUACCGGAUAGGAGCUCCUGCUGCAUGGUGGGGGUUGGAAAGAUUCGGCGGUUGGGGAUGGACUCGCGGCUUAUCAGCUUGUUGGUGGGGUAGUGGCUUACCAAGGCUUUGACGGGUAGCCGGCCUGAGAGGGGGGCCGGCCACAUUGGGACUGAGAUACGGCCCAGACGCCUACGGGCGGCAGCAGUGGGGAAUAUUGCACAAUGGGCGGAAGCGUGAUGCAGCAACCCCGCGUGCGUGAUGACGGCCUUCGGGUUGUAAACCGCUUUCGCCUGUGACGAAGCGUGAGUGACGGUAAUGGGUAAAGAAGCACCGGCUAACUACGUG